rnacentral:rRNA from 1 species
AGACCACCAGCUAAGGUCCCAAAAUAUAUGUUAAGUGGAAAAGGAUGUGGCGUUGCCCAGACAACUAGGAUGUUGGCUUAGAAGCAGCCAUCAUUUAAAGAGUGCGUAAUAGCUCACUAGUCGAGUGACACUGCGCCGAAAAUGUACCGGGGCUAAACAUAUUACCGAAGCUGUGGAUUGUCCUUUGGACAAUGGUAGGAGAGCGUUCUAAGGGCGUUGAAGCAUGAUCGUAAGGACAUGUGGAGCGCUUAGAAGUGAGAAUGCCGGUGUGAGUAGCGAAAGACGGGUGAGAAUCCCGUCCACCGAUUGACUAAGGUUUCCAGAGGAAGGCUCGUCCGCUCUGGGUUAGUCGGGUCCUAAGCUGAGGCCGACAGGCGUAGGCGAUGGAUAACAGGUUGAUAUUCCUGUACCACCUAUAAUCGUUUUAAUCG